UAUGUCGCAUAGGGGUGCUGGUGAAUGCCGGCUGAGAGCAGGGAGUUUUCCCUCAACCCUUAACCUGAUCUGGGUAAUGCCAGCGUAGGGAAUGUGUAAAUUGGUAUU
rnacentral:ncRNA from 2 species